rnacentral:rRNA from 1 species
AUUGAACGCUGGCGGCAGGCCUAACACAUGCAAGUCGAACGGUAGCACAGAGAGCUUGCUCUCGGGUGACGAGUGGCGGACGGGUGAGUAAUGUCUGGGAAACUGCCCGAUGGAGGGGGAUAACUACUGGAAACGGUAGCUAAUACCGCAUAAUGUCGCAAGACCAAAGAGGGGGACCAUCGGGCCUCUUGCCAUCGGAUGUGCCCAGAUGGGAUUAGCUUGUUGGUGAGGUAAUGGCUCACCAAGGCGACGACCCCUAGCUGGUCUGAGAGGAUGACCAGCAACACUGGAACUGAGCCACGGUCCAGACUCCUACGGGAGGCAGCAGUGGGGAAUAUUGCACAAUGGGCGCAAGCCUGAUGCAGCCAUGCCGCGUGUGUGAAGAAGGCCUUCGGGUUGUAAAGCACUUUCAGCGGGGAGGAAGGCAAUGCGGUUAAUAACCGUGUUGAUUGACGUUACCCGCAGAAGAAGCACCGGCUAACUCCGUG